AUUAAUAUUAUAUUUAUUUUUUUUAAACAACGUACCUACCAUGGAUUAAAAAAUUAUAGGCAAUGCUCAUCAAAUUUCUCUGAAUAAAUUAGAAAGGUAUGUAUUUUAUAGUAAUUAUAUAUUUUUCUAAUUAACACAAUAUUUAUCGUUUGUCACAGAUGUAUCUAAGGAAGCUGAAAUUUUCACAAAUUCUAUGCAUGUAAUCUCUCCAAAAUGUAAAAUAAAUACUUGAGAAAUCAGCAAGUAUAAUUGAGAGUUGAAAUAUACAAAGAAAAUUAAUCAGAUCAUUUGUGUAAAGAAUGAAUACAAAUAUUUUUGUGUGUUCAAAUGUAAUAUAUUUAUCUAUCACAUUUACAUAUCCACUUUAUUCUAAGAAGGUUAUAUAAAAAAGAUUUAUAUGCACUUAAAUAUUGCAAUUGAUUUAUUCUUUUCAUGAUUUUACUUGC
rnacentral:lncRNA from 1 species